rnacentral:rRNA from 1 species
GGGGAAUCUUCCGCAAUGGACGAAAGUCUGACGGAGCAACGCCGCGUGAGUGAUGACGGCCUUCGGGUUGUAAAGCUCUGUUAAUCGGGACGAAAGGCCUUCUUGCGAAUAGUGAGAAGGAUUGACGGUACCGGAAUAGAAAGCCACGGCUAACUACGUGCCAGCAGCCGCGGUAAUACGUAGGUGGCAAGCGUUGUCCGGAAUUAUUGGGCGUAAAGCGCGCGCAGGCGGAUCAGUCAGUCUGUCUUAAAAGUUCGGGGCUUAACCCCGUGAUGGGAUGGAAACUGCUGAUCUAGAGUAUCGGAGAGGAAAGUGGAAUUCCUAGUGUAGCGGUGAAAUGCGUAGAUGUUAGGAAGAACACCAGUGGCGAAGGCGACUUUCUGGACGAAAACUGACGCUGAGGCGCGAAAGCCAGGGGAGCGAACGGGAUUAGAUACCCCGGUAGUCCUGGCCGUAAACGAUGGGUACUAGGUGUAGGAGGUAUCGACCCCUUCUGUGCCGGAGUUAACGCAAUAAGUACCCCGCCUGGGGAGUACGACCGCAAGGUUG